CUUCCUCUGAGAAAACUAUUUUGGUAUCUGCAGAGGAUUUUGCACAAUUUUCCCAGUAUCAGGCAUCUCUAAAGCCUACCAGUUCCCUUGUCACUGCGAUCGCUGAGUCAGGAUCUUACGACGAAGCAGAUUAUUGGUAGAGGACGCGAGUCAGGUGGUCUCUACAUUCUGGAAAAUCAUGUACCGCGGUCGCUUGUUUGCUCCAGUACCUUAACACCUCUUGAAGCUCAUUGUAGAUUGGGUCAUCCUUCUUUGUCUACUAUGAAGAAGUUGUGUCCUCAAUUUCAGUCUUUAUCAGUACUAGAAUGUGAGUCGUGUCAGUUUGCAAAACAUCAUCGUUUGCCUUCUGUGUCUAGAGUCAAUAAAUGGGCUUCAUCCCCUUUUGAGUUA